AUGCAAGUCGAACGGCAGCACGGGUGCUUGCACCUGGUGGCGAGUGGCGAACGGGUGAGUAAUGUAUCGGAACGUGCCCUAGAGUGGGGGAUAACGUAGCGAAAGUUACGCUAAUACCGCAUACGAUCUACGGAUGAAAGUGGGGGAUCGCAAGACCUCAUGCUCAUGGAGCGGCCGAUAUCUGAUUAGCCAGUUGGUAGGGUAAAAGCCUACCAAGGCGACGAUCAGUAGCUGGUCUGAGAGGACGACCAGCCACACUGGGACUGAGACACGGCCCAGACUCCUACGGGAGGCAGCAGUGGGGAAUUUUAGACAAUGGGGGAAACCCUGAUCCAGCAAUGCCGCGUGUGUGAAGAAGGCCUUCGGGUUGUAAAGCACUUUUGUCAGGAACGAAACGGUGGAGGCUAAUACCUUCUGCUAAUGACGGUACCUGAAGAAUAAGCACCGGCUAACUACGUGCCAGCAGCCGCGGUAAUACGUAGGGUGCAAGCGUUAAUCGGAAUUACUGGGCGUAAAGCGUGCGCAGGCGGUUGUGCAAGACAGAUGUGAAAUCCCCGGGCUUAACCUGGGAAUUGCAUUUGUGACUGCACGGCUAGAGUGUGUCAGAGGGGGGUAGAAUUCCACGUGUAGCAGUGAAAUGCGUAGAUAUGUGGAGGAAUACCGAUGGCGAAGGCAGCCCCCUGGGAUAACACUGACGCUCAUGCACGAAAGCGUGGGGAGCAAACAGGAUUAGAUACCCUGGGUAGUCCACGCCCUAAACGAUGUCUACUA
rnacentral:rRNA from 1 species